rnacentral:sRNA from 1 species
UACACCUUCCCCCGGAGCGGUCGGGGGA